GACGGAGGGCGCAAGCGUUGUUCGGAAUUACUGGGCGUAAAGCGCGCGCAGGCGGAAGAGGAAGUCGAGGGUGAAAUCUUGGGGCUCAACCCUGAGACUGCCAUUGAUACUCCUGUUCUAGGGACCGGUAGAGGCUGGUGGAAUUCCCGGUGUAGCGGUGGAAUGCGUAGAUAUCGGGAAGAACACCUGUGGCGAAGGCGACCAGCUGGGCCGGAUCCGACGCUGAGGCGCGAAAGCGUGGGGAGCAAACAGG
rnacentral:rRNA from 1 species